CUGCCCAUUCUCCCUCCUAAAUCUUCCUCAAACUCCAUCCUUUUCUCUCCCAUCCUUUUCUCAAUGUCACCUCUGAAUGACAGAUCUCUUUCCAUCUCACUGAUCGCCAUGCCUGCACCCUCACCACCCAGAAGCCAUUGUUACCUCUUCAAGAAGCAAAUAUGGCCCUAGUACCCACUCCCCUCACUCACUAACAUCCUUCCUCAGGUCCCUAUUGCCCUCAGAAAAUAGUCCAGGCGCCUUGGCAUGGCUUAGAGGAACCUGCAUGACUUGGCCACUGUCUACCCCUUCUACCUUUCUGUCACUCUCUCACAGUGAACUCUAGGUUCCUCGGAUGUGCUUAGUUCUCUCACCCCUCAGGGCCUUUGCACAUGCUGUUCCCCCAUGCCUGCAACAGGACUCUCCCUUUCUUCAUCCACUUAAAUGCUAGCCAGCCCUCAGCUCUUGGCAUCACUUGCGUGUUAGUUUCCCCUCCUGCAGGCUCCCAUAGCACCUGCUCUUGGCCAAGCAUCAGUAAACUAUAAUUAUCUAUAUGCCAUAAAAUACACACACACACACACACACAGAAAGAGAGCACGUUAUAGGAAGGGACCUCGACUGACUUGUUCCCUGUUUCCUCAGCACAGUGCUUGGUACAUAAAAGGCACUCAGUAAAUUAUUUGUGAAAUGAAAUGAAUUUCCCAAAUACUUAGUAUCCCUAGUUGAUACUUUUUAGCUUUUUAUUGAAGCAUAAUGCACUUAUAGAAAAGUCUGAACAUCAUCAAUCUACAGAUUAGGGUGAUUACAAAAUAAAGUUGCUGUAAACCUUAGUGCACAGGUUUUUUUUUUUUUUUUUCUGUGAACAUAACUUUAAUUUCACUUGGGUAAAUACCUAAAAUUGAGAUUAUUGGGUUAUAGGUUAUGUGUAUACUCAGCUUCACAAAGAGACUGCCAAACGGUUUUCAAAAGUAGCUUUACCAUCUCACAUUUUCACUACCAAUAUGUGAGAGUUCCAGUUACUCUUCGUCAACACUUGGUGUUGUUUCUUUUAUGUUAGCCAUUAGAAUAAGUGUUUGGUAGUAUUUCAUUAUGAGUUUAUUUGCAUUUCCCUAAUGCAUAUUGAGAUUGAACAUCUUUUCAUGUGCUAUUUUGCCACCGGUAUAUCUUCUUUGAUAGAGUAUCUUUUCAAAUCUUUGCAUUUCAGAGUUCUUUAUAUAUUCUGUAUACAAAUCCUUUAUCAGGUAAGUAAUUUAUCAAUAUUCUCCCAGUCUAUGACUUGCCUUUUCCUUCUCUUAAUAGUAUCUGUCAAAAAACAGUUUCUAAUGUUGAUGAGUCCCAUUCAUUGAUUUGUUUGGCAGUAUGAAAACCUUCUCUGGGCCAUAAGUCAAGAACUCAUAUUGAUUGCCUUGUCUCAGAGAUCACUGUAUCACUGUCAUACAUGACCAUAGGAUAUGUGUUGUUCCUUUUUAUUUUUUCUGAAUUUUUGAGUAGUAAAGGGUAAAUCCAGUCGCUCUUACUUCAUCUUGCUUUGAGUAAAAAUCUCCACUUGAUACUUAAUCUUUUCAUUAUCAUCCAAUUGAAAAUAUUUUCUAAUCUCCUUUGACAUAUAGGUAAUUUUAAAGUGAGUUGCUUACUUUCCAAACACAUGCGAAUUUUCUAGUUAUCUUUGGAUUAAUUUCUAGCUUAAUUCUACUAUAGUCAGAAAACAUAUUCUGUGUAAUUUCAGUCCUUCAAAACUUGUUGAGACUUACCUUAUGGCCUAAUGUGUGGUCUAUUUUGUCAAACGUUCCAUAAGCUCUUGACAGUAAUGUGUACUCUGCAGUUCUUGGGUACUAUGUUCUACAUGUGGCAGUUAGAUCAACCUAUUAAUAAUGUUGAUUGAAUAUUCUAAAUUCUUGGCUGUUUUCAUGUGUUUUCUGUUACUGAUAGAAGUGUAUUAAAAUCACUUAAUAUGAUUGGGAUUUAUCUAUUUCUCCUUUUAGUUUUGUUGACUUUGAGCCUAUGUCAGCAAAAACAAACAAAAUUAGAAUCAUCAUGUAUAUUUUUAUCAUUAUGGAAUGUCCUUCUUUAUCUCUAGCAAUGUUUUUACCUUUAAGUAUACUGUCAAAGAACACCAACAUCUGAAUUUUCUGUGGUUCUGUUUCUGUUGGUUGUAUCUUCUCUUGGUUUUUGUUCUCACUUUGGUUGGUUGCUUUUGUAUUCCUACUUAUUUUUUUGUCAUAUGCUAGACAUUAUAGGUGGAAAAUGUAGAGGAUUUUAAACUCUGCAUUAUAUUUUCUUAGUCUGGAUUCUCCCAGAAAGUAGAAGCUAAGAACUUGACCUGUACAAAGAUAGUUCAUUUGGGUUGGUAAUGCAGAGGCACAGAAGUGGGGCUGGGUACACUAUAACAGGGAGAAAGCCAAUUGCUGGGUACAUCCUUGAGUUGGCAGUUAGCUUGGGCUACUGGUGAUUGAUCCUGCCAAGACCUCCUAAGAAUUGUAUCUCAAAUUUUUCUUCCUAAAGCAUGGAAGAGAGAAGCAAAUUAUUCUCCAACUCACAUCUCUCAUUGAUCAAGAGUUGUUCUGUGCACGGUUAACACUCUUUCACUUCCAGAAUGCAUGUAAAUAAAUUAAAGGCAACUUUCCAUAGUCAGAGGCACUAGAGAACCCCUGGCCUGGGAAGUCAGAGCUAUAUAAAGGCUAAUCAAUGUAGUUGAGUGACACCUGCACAAAACUAAUUCUGGAAGCUGGGGCUGGAAUGAAAUACAGGGCAACAGGGAGUGAGGAGAGGAAAAUUAAUGUUCUGAUCUCUCUCCAAAGAUUUACUUUUGCUUCUGGCAGACAACUAGAUUAGGGGGGGAAUAAAAGCACAACAUAAUCCAAUCAGGAGUUGAGAUGACUCAGCUGAGCUUCAGUCUUUUGGAGAGAAGAUCUGUUUCUAGUUCAUCCUCACUCCUAGGGAGCAGCUCUCCAGGGCUCCAACUCAAAUCCUGGGCUUUACCAGAGCCUCUCUUCCUUGGCGGGCCCUGAAUGCCAAUGUUUGUUGCCCUACCUCUAUAUAUAUGGCAAAGAUACUGCUCAGACCAUCAGCCUCAGCCUCUGCUUCCAAAUCAGCAAAGACUUCAAAUAUCAGGCUCAAGCUCCUGGGAGCUUCUCUUCUUCCUGGGAUCUCGGCCCCUCAAAUCCUGGCUGCCUUAGCACCUUUCUAGAGCCUUCAAAGGGACUUUUUGGUCCAGGUUUCCCAGUCAACCUCAACAGGAAGAUGGGUCCAAGACAAAUUAGAUGUCAUUGCCAGAAACAGAACAUCCUUAGUUGCCCAUGCAAAUGUUAUAGGGGCAAACAUGUACCUUUGUGUUAAGCACAGCCCUAAAGCAUAGAAUCAUCUCAAAAGCCAAGUUGGAGCUCUGCACCCAUUAAAGGAUGGUCUCCUCCUUUACCAUCUCCUCCACUUUGCACGAUCCCCCCACCCAGGGCCAGCGCAAUGCCUGGCAUUCAGCACAUACUCAAUAUGUGUUCAUUGAAUAAACAGCCUGCAAAGAGAGUUGCUUCUGGUGUCUGUGGAGGAUCCUGUGGGGGCUGGGAAGAGCGUCCUCCGCUUCAAAGUCUGCCCCUUUGGAGGCUACUGAGAAGCUGAGGCGGGGGCUCACAGAUUUCAUCAGUCAUGAACCUCCUGGAAGACUGAAAUCAGCUUAUUUCUAGGCCCACUCUGGAGAUUCUAAUUCAACCCCAAAGCCAGGGUCCAUUGAGAAAAUCUACCCAAAGGGGCAAUGGCCCCAGUACUGAUAUCUACCCAGGACCUGAAGCUCCCAAUCCAAGGAGGGCCCAGGCUGGGGACUCUCCUUGUAGAAGACCUCCUGGCUAGAAAGAGCUAGGGCUGAACAUAUAGUAUCUCCUGGGAUGGUGUUCCCCCAAAUGUUGGACCCCCCAUUGACUUUGGAUGGUGGGGAGGGCACCAGUUUAAAUAGCAUUGAAUCAGAGAGUGGCUCCUUUUCUAUCCUCCUUUAGGAUAAAGGCUCAGGACUGUGCUAGGAUGUCUUUAACAGUGUUCUAACACCUGUCAUUUUCAACAAAAAAAGGAGCAGAUCUCAGGUUAAGAGCCUUCCUAGGCAACGGUAUCUAGCUGGUAUAUAAUAUUACUCCCAUUGUAGUUAUAUUUCCUGGUAAAGCUUAUUUAUAGAACACAAUCUUGGCCUUCUAUUUACAUUAGUGACGUAAGUUUCCUUUUAAGUAAACUCAUGUGAGUUUAUGUAAAUAGAAAUAUUAAGUUAGUAGUAGCCUGUUCCUAUGUACAUAUGGCAAAACUCAUGAAGCUUGUACGCAAAGUGAAAUUUGAGGAACAGCACCCUUAAGGAGUGUCCUUCAUUGGGAACAGACAGGUAAAAAUGAGACUAAAAGUUGUGACUGGAGAAUCUAGGCAGCAAGAGACCCAAAGCCAAGGGCCUGGCCCUCUAGGGCUUAUCACCUAACAAGGAAGGAGCCAUGGUAAGUGGGACCAGAUGGUCACGCUGCUUGAAGUGCCCCCCCUGGGAUGUGUUCCUUGGGGUUACAGACCCAUUUACCAGUGAUCCUGUUUCAAAUAUAAACAUUCUUUGAGGAAUCGAGCAUCCUCACUCGCACCCCUGAGGCUUGUCCCUGAAACUGAACAGGGACCAGUGUGAACAUCAAAAUGGGCAAGUGGGAGGGGUGGGAACUCCCAUGUGGGUGCCUAGGACUCGGAGGUGUAGGAGGAAAUUUGGAGAAGGAUUCAGGUGCCUUUUUCAUAAGCAUUCACAAAAUGUCUAUGGGCCCUUACCCCUUCACAAAGAGGGCCUAACACUCACUGACAAUGGGGCAGAUCCUCGCACUUCCAGAGAUUCCUGAAUUCCUGAAAUGAAGGUCACUGAUUGGAUCAGUACAAGUUCACUGCCAAAAAAACCUACUCCAUUGUUCCACUCCGGGUGUACAUCUGGAAAAAAAAAAAAAAACUGAAACACUAAUUUGAAAGGAUACAUGCAUCCCAAUGUCCAUAGCCAUAUUAUUUACAAUAUUUACAAUUGCCAAGAUAUGGAAG
rnacentral:lncRNA from 1 species